rnacentral:rRNA from 1 species
CGAACGAACUUUCGGGUGAGUGGCGUCCGGGUGAGUAACGCGUGAGAAUCUGCCUUCAGGAGGGGACAACAGUUGGAAACGACUGCUAAUACCGAAUAUGCCGAAGGUGAAAAAAAUUGCCUGAAGAGGAGCUCGCGUCCGAUUAGCUAGUUGGUGGGUAAAGCUACCAAGGCAGCGAUCGGUAGCUGGUCUGAGAGGAUGAGCAGCCACACUGGGACUGAGACACGGCCCAGACUCCUACGGGAGGCAGCAGUGGGGAAUUUUCCGCAAUGGGCGAAAGCCUGACGGAGCAAACCGCGUGAGGGAGGAAGGCUCUUGGGUUGUAAACCUCUUUUUUCAAGGAAGUGACGGUACUUGAAGAAUAAGCAUCGGCUAACUCCGUGCCAGCAGCCGCGGUAAUACGGAGGAUGCAAGCGUUAUCCGGAAUCAUUGGGCGUAAAGCGUCCGCAGGUGGCUUUCAAGUCUGUUGUUAAAGUAAGCUUAACUUGGAAAGGCAAUGGAAACUGGGCUAGAGUUGGUAGGGGUUGAGGGAAUUCCCAGUGUAGCGGUGAAAUGCGUAGAUAUUGGGAAGAACACCAGUGGCGAAGGCGCUCAACUGGGCCUACUGACACUCAGGGACGAAAGCUAGGGGAGCGAAAGGGAUUAAAUACCCCUGUAGUCCUAGCUGUAAACGAUGAACACUAGGCGUUGCUGUAUCGACCCGGCAGUGCCGUA